AUGUAACUUGAGUUCACCAAUCACUUCAUCCACGUCCUAGAGGAAUUCAAACUGAUGACGAACACCGGUUACGCCUGGAGGGUGACGGUCUGGAUGAUCAACAACAAGCACAUGUUUGACAAGGGUUGGGCCCCCUUCACCACUGUUCACCGGAUCAAGAUCAGGUACCUCGUCACCAUCAAGCUGGCGACUCCCAAUACCCUGAAGAUGAUCGUCUUCAACAACGACGAUGUCGAGGUGGUGACCAAGUGCAAGAAGCACAAGGAGGCCUUUGCCAUGGAUGCCUAA
rnacentral:rRNA from 1 species